AACUCAAGCUUUCUCUGUUUCGAUUUUGUCCGCGGUGAAUAAAACAAGAGCUUCUGGUCUUUUUGAUUGAAGACAAACUCAAGAUACAGCAAUAAUUAACAGCAAGUUUGAGAGUGAAAGAAGAACCGACUUACCUACGGCGAGGAGAAUUUCGCCGAUUAUUGUUUGAAGGUACAAUCAACGGUUAAUGGAAAUAUGGAGAGUGAAAGAAAAGAGGCUUACCUGCGGCGAAGAUGUUGAAGAUUCAUCUAUGGAGGCUCGAAGAUGGGAGCCAUCGUUGAAGGCUGCUAGCAAGCAAGGUGUGAAGGCC